rnacentral:ncRNA from 1 species
UUGUCUUCAGGGCAGGGUGUAAUUCCCGACCGGCGGUAAAGUCCGCGACCCGCGUAAGCGGCUGAUUCGGUGUAACUCCGGAACCGAUAGUAUAGUCUAGAUGGAAGAAGACA